CGACCAUCUGCAGCCCUCCUGCCCCCUGACAUCUGGAGACGGGCUGAGACACAACGACAACAACACACACACAUGCAGUCUUUACUGUAGUGAAAGAUGUGCAGCAGAAAGGAGAAGGAAUGAGGGAUGAUGUCAUGUUCAAAAAGUCUCAUAUUCGCAUUCACUGAAUCCGUCCAGGAUACUCCUACGGUGUGUUUCCAUUCACCAGAGCUGCUCUGCUGGCAAACUCUGCUGUUUAACUGUGUGGCUGCAACAAAGUGUGCAAAGGUCCAUGUGUGAAAUUAAAGUUGUUGAUGUGGAACACCAUGACUUCAGAAAGCAUCUUCUACCUCACCAUGC